AUUGAACGCUGGCGGCAUGCCUUACACAUGCAAGUCGAACGGCAGCACGGGAGCAAUCCUGGUGGCGAGUGGCGAACGGGUGAGUAAUAUAUCGGAACGUGCCCGGUCGUGGGGAUAACGUAGCGAAAGCUACGCUAAUACCGCAUACGAUCUACGGAUGAAAGCGGGGGAUCGCAAGACCUCGCGCGAUUGGAGCGGCCGAUAUCAGAUUAGGUAGUUGGUGAGGUAAAGGCUCACCAAGCCGACGAUCUGUAGCUGGUCUGAGAGGACGACCAGCCACACUGGGACUGAGACACGGCCCAGACUCCUACGGGAGGCAGCAGUGGGGAAUUUUGGACAAUGGGCGCAAGCCUGAUCCAGCAAUGCCGCGUGCAGGAUGAAGGCCUCGGUUGGUAA
rnacentral:rRNA from 1 species